UGGGGAAUAUUGCACAAUGGGCGCAAGCCUGAUGCAGCCAUGCCGCGUGUAUGAAGAAGUCCUUCGGGUUGUAAAGUACUUUCAGCGGGGAGGAAGGGAGUAAAGUUAAUACCUUUGCUCAUUGACGUUACCCGCAGAAGAAGCACCGGCUAACUCCGUGCCAGCAGCCGCGGUAAUACGGAGGGUGCAAGCGUUAAUCGGAAUUACUGGGCGUAAAGCGCACGCAGGCGGUCUGUCAAGUCGGAUGUGAAAUCCCCGGGCUCAACCUGGGAACUGCAUUCGAAACUGGCAGGCUAGAGUCUUGUAGAGGGGGGUAGAAUUCCAGGUGUAGCGGUGAAAUGCGUAGAGAUCUGGAGGAAUACCGGUGGCGAAGGCGGCCCCCUGGACAAAGACUGACGCUCAGGUGCGAAAGCGUGGGGAGCAAACAGG
rnacentral:rRNA from 1 species